rnacentral:rRNA from 1 species
GUCCACGCCGUAAACGAUGUCGACUUGGAGGCUGUGAGCAUGACUCGUGGCUUCCGGAGCUAACGCGUUAAGUCGACCGCCUGGGGAGUACGGCCGCAAGGUUAAAACUCAAAUGAAUUGACGGGGGCCCGCACAAGCGGUGGAGCAUGUGGUUUAAUUCGAUGCAACGCGAAGAACCUUACCUGCUCUUGACAUCCACGGAAUUCGGCAGAGAUGCCUUAGUGCCUUCGGGAACCGUGAGACAGGUGCUGCAUGGCUGUCGU